rnacentral:tRNA from 1 species
GCCGGAGUGGUGAAAUUGGUAAACGCAGCGGACUCAAAAUCCGCCGGGGGCAACCCCUUGUGAGUUCGAUUCUCACCUCCGGCACCA